rnacentral:tRNA from 1 species
AAGAAAGUGACAGAACGGUAAUGUGGCUGUCUUGAAAUCAGCAUAUGGGGGUUCAAUUCCUUCCUUUCUCG